rnacentral:piRNA from 1 species
GACACGCACCCUAGAGGUUGACCCUGCCUG